GGUGUAGCUCAGUAGUAGAGCACUUGUCUACCAUUCACCAAGCCCUGGGUUCAAUCCCCAGAACCA
rnacentral:tRNA from 1 species